GAUGAACGCUGACAGAAUGCUUAACACAUGCAAGUCAACUUGAAUUUGGGUUUUUAACUUAGGUUUGGGUGGCGGACGGGUGAGUAACGCGUAAAGAACUUGCCUCACAGCUAGGGACAACAUUUGGAAACGAAUGCUAAUACCUAAUAUUAUGAUAAUAGGGCAUCCUAUAAUUAUGAAAGCUAUAAGCGCUGUGAGAGAGCUUUGCGUCCCAUUAGCUAGUUGGAGAGGUAACGGCUCACCAAGGCGAUGAUGGGUAGCCGGCCUGAGAGGGUGAUCGGCAAAAAGGGGACUAAGACACGGCCCUAACUCCUACGGGAGGAAGAAGUGGGAAAUAUUGAACAAUGGACCGAGAGUCUGAUCCAGAAAUUCUGUGUGCACGAUGAAGUUUUUCGGAAUGUAAAGUGCUUUCAGUUGGGAAGAAACAAAUGACGGUACCAACAGAAGAAGUGACGGCUAAAUACGUG
rnacentral:rRNA from 1 species